UACGUAGGUGGCAAGCGUUGUCCGGAUUUACUGGGCGUAAAGAGCGCGCAGGCGGUCGAUCAAGUCGCGUGUGAAAGCCCCCGGCUCAACUGGGGAGGGUCACGCGAUACUGAUCGACUCGAAGGCAGGAGAGGGUAGUGGAAUUCCCGGUGUAGUGGUGGAAAUGCGUAGAUAUCGGGAGGAACACCAGUGGCGAAGGCGACUACCUGGCCUGUUCUUGACGCUGAGGCGCGAAAGCUAGGGGAGCAAACGGG
rnacentral:rRNA from 1 species